rnacentral:rRNA from 1 species
UACGGAGGAUGCGAGCGUUAAUCGGAAUUAUUGGGCGUAAAGGGUGCGUAGGUGGUGGGUUAAGUCUGCCGUGAAAUCCCCGAGCUCAACUUGGGAAUGGCGGUGGAAACGGGCUGACUGGAGUAUGGGAGAGGGUGAUGGAAUUCCAGGUGUAGCUGUGAAAUGCGUAGAGAUCUGGAGGAACACCAGUGACGAAGGCGGUCACCUGGGCCAUUACUGACGCUGAGGCGCGAAAGCGGGGGGAGCAAACAGU